ensembl:snoRNA U3 Small nucleolar RNA U3
AAGACCCACAACUUUCAAGGGAUCAUUUUUAUAGUUUCUGACUUGUGUGUUUCUGAAGUGUCCGGUUUCCCUGGCGAUGAUGAUGAGUUGUGAUGUUCCUUUCCGAGCGCGGAGCAGAUAGAGAGUAAUGAUUCGGGGUUUUUUUAUGCUCUUUGUCCUCUAUGACCGUUUCGCACUUCCUGAGGGCUUCAGUGGGUAGAGCGGGUCGU